AGACGGGCAUCACCGAUGAACCAUGACAACAGAGAGGUUUCAGUACUAAAAGAUAAAAGUGUCAUGUUUUACUGUAUUAUACAUUUUGAUUACCAGACAAAAGCUUCAGUUGUUGGUGGUUAAACAUGUACAGUCAAAUCAGUUAAAACGAGUCUCCGGAUACAAAAGGAACAAAUCAAGCUGGACUAAAAUACUGAAUCACUUUCUAUAUAUUGUUAGUUUCUGUUAAUCAACAUGAGGAUGAUUCAAACAGUCAGCUGUCCCAGCACUGAGGAGGAAACACCAUGAUAUGUUGAGGACAGCUACAGUUCACUGACUCUGUGUGUUUGCAUAUCUGUCCUGCCUCUCUGCUCCCAGCCGUUAAGAGGCCAGUGUUGAUCAGUGGCUGUCCAGGCCUUUCAGAGCCACUGACACGCCGGCAGCACAAUGAUGAUGUCACUGAUUCCACUGCUGGCCACCCUGGGGCUCCUUGUUCAGGGUUCAUCAGGAGAAAUCGUCGUGACUCAGUCUCCUGGAUCUCAGUCUGUUGUUCCAGGACAGACUGUCUCUCUCAGAUGUAAAACCAGUACGAGUGUUAGUAACAUUUUUUACAGCAACCUCCACUGGUAUCUUCAGAAACCCGGAGAAGCUCCUAAACUCCUGAUUUAUGGAGCUACAACCCUUCAGUCUGGAGUUCCAGGUCGUUUUAGUGGAAGUGGAUCUGGGACUGACUUCACUCUGACCAUCAGUGGAGUUCAGGCUGAAGAUUCAGGAGUUUACUACUGUCAGCAGGGUUACAGCAUCCCGUUCACACAGUGAUACAACGUCGUACAAAAACCUCCCUCAGCUGGAGAGGAACUGAUCUGACUCGACAGCUGCACUGAAACUAAAACAUUAGAAGCUUCUCUGAAAGAAAACUCAUGAUUGUGUUAAAAAGUUAUAUUUUUAUUGUGGAAAUAUUUUUCAUACAA